GUAUAUGGACUAUGUAUUUGGGAAUGAGACUGAAGCAAGGACCUUCUCUGAAGUUCAUGGUUGGGAGACUGAGAAUGUUGAGGAGAUUGCGUUGAAGAUCUCGCCCAAUAGCAUCUGGAACCCACAAGAGGAUUACCGUCAUCACACAAGGAGCUGAUUCAGUUGUUGUUGCUGAGGAUGGAAAGGUGAAGUUGUUCCCAAUGAUCCCGUUACCCAAGGAGAAGCUUGUCGAUACUAAUGGAGCAGGUACGUGCUCGAACUUCCCUG